CUUUCUGUGGUUUCAGUUACCUGUGGUGAACUGUAAGUAGCCUGGAAGCAGGUGAUCCUCCAUCUGAUGAAUCAGCAGAAAGUCAAUAAUAGCCUGACUCUGCAAUCACAAUGCCUACGUCAUUCACCUCACGUCAUCUCAUCAUUUGGUGUUUUAUCAUCUCGCAUCAUCACAAGAAGAAGGGGGCUUCCUUGAAAAUGUGAUUAUAAAGUUAAAAAGAAGAAUAAAAUAUAAACAAAAAUGGGCAUUGCCUAAAUUUAAUUUUGCAUUUGACCAUUUACUCCUCUAAGGAAAAGGAGUAAAAAUUAC
rnacentral:lncRNA from 1 species